rnacentral:rRNA from 1 species
AUUGAACGCUGGCGGCAGGCUUAACACAUGCAAGUCGAGCGGGGUGAGGUGCUUCGGUACUGAGCCUAGCGGCGGACGGGUGAGUAAUGCUUAGGAAUCUGCCUAUUAGUGGGGGACAACAUUCCGAAAGGAAUGCUACUACCGCAUACGCACUACGGGGGAAAGCAGGGGAUCUUCGGACCUUGCGCUAAUAGAUGAGCCUAAGUGGGAUUAGCUAGUUGGUGGGGUAAAGGACUACCAAGGCGACGAUCUGUAGCGGGUCUGAGAGGAGGAUCCUCCACACUGGGACUGAGACACGGCCCAGACUCCUACGGGAGGCAGCAGUGGGGAAUAGUGGACGAUGGGGGGAACCCUGAUCCAGCCAUGCCGCGUGUGUGAAGAAGGCCUUUUGGUUGUAAAGCACUUUAAGCGGGGAGGAGGCUCUUGAGGAUAAUACCCUUGAUGAGUGGACGUUACCCGCAGAAUAAGCACCGGCUAACUCUGUGCCAGCCGCCGCGGUAAUAC